UCGGGAAUUUUGGGCAAUGGGCGAAAGCCUGACCCAGCAACGCCGCGUGAAGGAUGAAGUAUUUCGGUAUGUAAACUUCGAAAGAAUAGGAAGAAUAAAUGACGGUACUAUUUGUAAGGUCCGGCUAACUACGUGCCAGCAGCCGCGGUAAUACGUAGGGACCAAGCGUUGUUCGGAUUUACUGGGCGUAAAGGGUGCGUAGGCGGCAUAUCAAGUCACUUGUGAAAUCUCCGGGCUUAACUCGGAACUGCCAAGUGAUACUGAUGUGCUAGAGUGCAGAAAGGGCAACUGGAAUUCUUGGUGUAGCGGUGAAAUGCGUAGAUAUCAAGAGGAACACCUGAGGCGAAGACGGGUUGCUGGUCUAACACUGACGCUGAGGCGCGAAAGCCAGGGGAGCAAACGGGAUUAGAUACCCCCGUAGUCCCUGAGCGGGCUGGCAAGGCGCAU
rnacentral:rRNA from 1 species